rnacentral:rRNA from 1 species
UACGAAGGGGGCUAGCGUUGUUCGGAUUUACUGGGCGUAAAGCGCACGUAGGCGGAUCGUUAAGUCGGGGGUGAAAUCCUGGAGCUCAACUCCAGAACUGCCUUUGAUACCGAGGAUCUUGAGUUCGGGAGAGGUGAGUGGAACUGCGAGUGUAGAGGUGAAAUUCGUAGAUAUUCGCAAGAACACCAGAGGCGAAGGCGGCUCACUGGCCCGAUACUGACGCUGAGGCACGAAAGCGUGGGGAGCAAACAGG